rnacentral:rRNA from 1 species
CGUAGGGUGCAAGCGUUGUCCGGAAUUAUUGGGCGUAAAGAGCUCGUAGGCGGUCUGUCGCGUCGAAUGUGAAAAUCCGGGGCUCAACUCCGGACCUGCAUUCGAUACGGGCAGACUAGAGUUCGGUAGGGGAGACUGGAAUUCCUGGUGUAGCGGUGAAAUGCGCAGAUAUCAGGAGGAACACCGGUGGCGAAGGCGGGUCUCUGGGCCGAUACUGACGCUGAGGAGCGAAAAGCGUGGGGGAGCGAACAGGAUU